GACGAACGCUGGCGGCGUGCCUAAUACAUGCAAGUUGAGCGAUGAAGAUUGGUGCUUGCACCCAUUUGAAGAGCAGCGAACGGGUGAGUAACGCGUGGGGAAUCUGCCUUUGAGCGGGGGACAACAUUUGGAAACGAAUGCUAAUACCGCAUAAUAACUUUAAACAUAAGUUUUAAGUUUGAAAGAUGCAAUUGCAUCACUCAAAGAUGAUCCCGCGUUGUAUUAGCUAGUUGGUGAGGUAAAGGCUCACCAAGGCGAUGAUACAUAGCCGACCUGAGAGGGUGCUCGGCAAAAUUGGGACGGGGACACGGCCCAACACACUACGGGAGGCAGCAGUAGGGAAUCUUCGGCAAUGGACGAAAUGCGGAACGAGCAACGCCGCGUGAGUGAAGAAGGCUUUCGGAUCGUAAAACUCUGGUGGUAGAGAAGAACGUUGGUGAGAGUGGAAAGCUAAUCAAGUGACGGUAACUACCCAGAAAGGGACGGCUAACUACGUG
rnacentral:rRNA from 1 species